UCCGAAGGGGGCUAUCGUUGUUCGGAAUUACUGGGCGUAAAGCGCACGUAGGCGGACUCUUAAGUCAGGGGUGAAAUCCCGGGGCUCAACCUCGGAACUGCCUUUGAUACUGUGAGUCUCGAGACCGGAAGAGGUGAGUGGAAUUCCUAGUGUAGAGGUGAAAUUCGUAGAUAUUAGGAAGAACACCAGUGGCGAAGGCGGCUCACUGGUCCGGUUCUGACGCUGAGGUGCGAAAGCGUGGGGAGAAAACAGG
rnacentral:rRNA from 1 species